UGCAGUCGAACGAACUUAACCAUUAGUUUACUAUUGGAGCGGUUAGUGGCGGACUGGUGAGUAACACGUAAGCAACCUGCCUAUCAGAGGGGAACAACAGUUAGAAAUGACUGCUAAUACCGCAUAUGCCUUAGAAUCACAUGGUUCAAAAGGGAAAGGAGCAAUCCGCUGAUAGAUGGGCUUGCGUCUGAUUAGCUAGUUGGUGGGGUAACGGCCUACCAAGGCGACGAUCAGUAGCCGAACUGAGAGGUUGAACGGCCACAUUGGGACUGAGAUACGGCCCAGACUCCUACGGGAGGCAGCAGUCGGGAAUAUUGCGCAAUGGAGGAAACUCUGACGCAGUGACGCCGCGUGCAGGAAGAAGGUUUUCGGAUUGUAAACUGCUUUAGACAGGGAAGAACAAAGACAGUACCUGUAGAAUAAGCUCCGGCUAACUACGUGCCAGCAGCCGCGGUAAUACGUAGGGAGCGAGCGUUAUCCGGAUUUAUUGGGUGUAAAGGGCGCGUAGACGGGAAGUCAAGUUAGUUGUGAAAUCCCUCGGCUUAACUGAGGAACUGCAACUAAAACUGAUUUUCUUGAGUACUGGAGAGGAAAGUGGAAUUCCUAGUGUAGCGGUGAAAUGCGUAGAUAUUAGGAGGAACACCGGUGGCGAAGGCGACUUUCUGGACAGAAACUGACGUUGAGGCACGAAAGUGUGGGGAGCAAACAGGAUUAGAUACCCUGGUAGUCCACACCGUAAACGAUGGAUACUAGGUGUAGGGGAUAUUAAAAUUCUCUGUGCCGCCGCUAACGCAAUAAGUAUCCCACCUGGGGAGUACGGCCGCAAGGUUGAAACUC
rnacentral:rRNA from 1 species